AGGAUGGGGGCGUACUCCUCACAUGGCCCCCCCGUGGCUGCUCCUCGUGGGAGGAACACCUCGUCUGUGCUCUGCAGCUUCCUCAGCUCCUCCCGUGUUCUCCAGAAGCCUGCAGACAGAUCCAGACUUGUCUGCUGCAGCGUACCCGUCCCGAGUCCAGCCACCAGAGCAGCUCCUAGACAGGACAUCUCUCUGUGCUGCAGUCGGACCAGCUUUCUACCACACAGGUCGGCAGUUAGCUGCAUGACAAAGUCAUUGGAGGAAACGCCGCCGUCCACCCUGAGACACGCAGGACGACCGCAUUAGCAGAACCCAGAGAACCGCAUGAAUGAACGUCAGCUUUUAUUCACCGCACUUUGGAGGAAAAAUCCUGAGGACUCGCCUGAAGGCGACCGACUCCAGAAUGGCCCGGAUCAGAUGGCUCUUGGUGGAAGAAGGUUUGAGGCCCAUCAAGGAAG